rnacentral:rRNA from 1 species
GACGUAGGUGGCGAACGUUUAUCCGGAAUUAUUGGGCGUAAAGGGUGCGUAGGUGGCCUGACAAGUUAUCAGUGGCAAAUCGAGGCUCAACCUCGUGGAAACUGGUAAUACUGUUCGGCUUGAGUACAGGAGAGGUUAACGGAACUCUAUGUGGAGCGGUAAAAUGCACAGAUAUAUAGAAGAACAUCAAUAAAGGCGAAAGGCAGUUAACUAUUCUGUUACUGACACUGAGGCACGAAAGCGUGGGGAGCAAAACGG